rnacentral:lncRNA from 1 species
CACAAAUCCUCUCCGGGCGGGGCGAGUUUGCGGAGAGCGCUUCGAAGUGCUGGGCUAGAGCCUCUGAGGAUUUUCGGGCUCUUAUUUCCCAUGAACCUCUGGGCCUAAACUAACCUCAGUCUCUGGGUCUCUUUCCGGUGUUUCCGAGAUUUUUGGACUCUGCGUGGAGAAUCUUGACAGUGAAAGUGUCUCACUGUGCUACAGCUACAAGAUGUUGAGGAGCUGCUCUGGCUUUUCUGGACUCUGUGCUUCACCAAUAGAGGAACUCUAUGGAGCACUAAUUAGUUCCUGGGAUUCUAGAACCAUGACUGACAACCCCCUCCUUGAACCUCCUUCUCAGUUCUUCCUGUUCCAGUAAAGGAUGAUGCCAAAUAUCCCAGCGUCUGCCCUCUGUGCCAUUUCCAAUCAGCACCAUCGUAUUCAUCAACCACUUAACUCAACAUCUCCUGUGGCUCAGUCUUCCAUCAAGAGCAGUGAAGGGAUGGAGUCCUCUAAGGGAAAUAUUUGAGCAUCUGUCCAAGAAUAACACAAAGAAAUAUACUGAACAAUCAGUUCGCUUUUAUUUAUAUACUAGGAAAACCAACAGUAGGUUGAGUUCAUCAUCUUUCAAAGGCAUGAAGAGGAUUCAUAUAAGAGGAGGAAAGAGGAGAGAAUGAAGACUUAAGACCUUUGGAAAGCACCAGUUUUCCUUUUGCAAGCCAAGAUGCUGAUUAAUUCAUGUUCUAUCUAGAAAAAAAAAAGGAUAAAGUUUCCUCAAUAGUUUUCCUUUUUCAGGCUAAUAUACAGCUAUCAAAGAAGCGGGUCAGGGUGCUCUGCCCUU